UGAAAGACAUUGUUUUUACAUUCCCAUCGUCACAAUAUUUAGUGUAAAUGCGGUAAAGAUUUGAAAUGUUUUUAAACUCACUUGGUAAAUAAAGUCGAGUUGAAUCUUUUCUGCAAUAGUGUGACGGUACUAAAGGCAGUAACUUA